rnacentral:rRNA from 1 species
AACGAACGCUGGCGGCAUGCCUAACACAUGCAAGUCGAACGAGACCUCCGGGACUUUGCGCGUCCGGGUGUGUAACGCGUGGGAAGCGGCCCUUAGGUUCGGACUAACUCCCCGAAAGGGGUGCUAAUACCGGAUAAUGUCUUCGGACCAAAGAUUUAUCGCGUUUGGAUGGGCCCUCGUUGGAUUAGCUGGUUGGUAGGGUAAAAGCCUACCACGGCGACGAUUCAUAGCUGGUGUGUGAGGAUGGUCAGCCACACUGGGACUAAGACACGGCCCAGAAUCCUACGGGAGGGGGGAGUGGGGGAUAUUGGACAACGGGGUGAAGGAUGAACCAGCUAUGACGGGUAAGUGAUGAAGGCCUUAGGGUAGUAAAGCGCUUUUACCCGGGCUGAUAAUGACGGUACCGGGAGAAUAAGCUCCGGCUAACUCCGUG